GACGUGGGGGGCCAGCGUUGUUCGGAAUUACUGGGUGUAAAGGGUUCGUAGGCGGUGUGGCAAGUUGGGAGUGAAAUCUCUGGGCUCAACCCAGAGGCUGCUUCCAAGACUGCUGUGCUGGAGUGUGGGAGAGGCGCGUGGAAUUGCAGGUGUAGCGGUGAAAUGCGUAGAUAUCUGCAGGAACAUCCGAGGCGAAGGCGGCUCGCUGGAUCACAACUGCCGCUGAGGGACGAAAGCUAGGGGAGCAAACAGG
rnacentral:rRNA from 1 species